UCGCUACUACCGAUUGAAUGAUUUAGUGAGCUGCAGGGACCGCUGUCUCGGGAUAGUUUACUAUUCUGGGACGGUCGGGAACUGCUACAAACUUGAUCAUUUAGAGGAAGUAA
rnacentral:rRNA from 1 species